GGGUUGUGAGGUUAAGCGACUAAGCGUACACGGUGGAUGCCCUGGCAGUCAGAGGCGAUGAAGGACGUGCUAAUCUGCGAAAAGCGUCGGUAAGGUGAUAUGAACCGUUACAGCCGGCGAUGUCCGAAUGGGGAAACCCAGUGUGAUUCGUCACACUAUCGUUAACUGAAUACAUAGGUUAACGAGGCGAACCGGGGGAACUGAAACAUCUAAGUACCCCGAGGAAAAGAAAUCAACCGAGAUUCCCCCAGUAGCGGCGAGCGAACGGGGAGCAGCCCAGAGUCUGAAUCAGCUUGUGUGUUAGUGGAACGGUCUGGAAAGUCCGACGGUACAGGGUGAUAGUCCCGUACACCAAAAUGCACAGGCUGUGAACUCGAAGAGUAGGGCGGGACACGUGGUAUCCUGUCUGAAUAUGGGGGGACCAUCCUCCAAGGCUAAAUACUCCUGACUGACCGAUAGUGAACCAGUACCGUGAGGGAAAGGCGAAAAGAACCCCGGCGAGGGGAGUGAAAAAGAACCUGAAACCGUGUACGUACAAGCAGUGGGAGCACCUUCGGGUGUGACUGCGUACCUUUUGUAUAAUGGGUCAGCGACUUAUAUUCUGUAGCAAGGUUAACCGUAUAGGGGAGCCGCAGGGAAACCGAGUCUUAACUGGGCGUUAAGUUGCAGGGUAUAGACCCGAAACCCGGUGAUCUAGCCAUGGGCAGGUUGAAGGUUGGGUAACACUAACUGGAGGACCGAACCGACUAAUGUUGAAAAAUUAGCGGAUGACUUGUGGCUGGGGGUGAAAGGCCAAUCAAACCGGGAGAUAGCUGGUUCUCCCCGAAAGCUAUUUAGGUAGCGCCUCGUGAACUCAUCUUCGGGGGUAGAGCACUGUUUCGGCUAGGGGGUCAUCCCGACUUACCAACCCGAUGCAAACUACGAAUACCGAAGAAUGUUAUCACGGGAGACACACGGCGGGUGCUAACGUCCGUCGUGAAGAGGGAAACAACCCAGACCGCCAGCUAAGGUCCCAAAGUCAUGGUUAAGUGGGAAACGAUGUGGGAAGGCACAGACAGCCAGGAUGUUGGCUUAGAAGCAGCCAUCAUUUAAAGAAAGCGUAAUAGCUCACUGGUCGAGUCGGCCUGCGCGGAAGAUGUAACGGGGCUAAACCAUGCACCGAAGCUGCGGCAGCGACACUAUGUGUUGUUGGGUAGGGGAGCGUUCUGUAAGCCUGCGAAGGUGUGCUGUGAGGCAUGCUGGAGGUAUCAGAAGUGCGAAUGCUGACAUAAGUAACGAUAAAGCGGGUGAAAAGCCCGCUCGCCGGAAGACCAAGGGUUCCUGUCCAACGUUAAUCGGGGCAGGGUGAGUCGACCCCUAAGGCGAGGCCGAAAGGCGUAGUCGAUGGGAAACAGGUUAAUAUUCCUGUACUUGGUGUUACUGCGAAGGGGGGACGGAGAAGGCUAUGUUAGCCGGGCGACGGUUGUCCCGGUUUAAGCAUGUAGGCUGAUUGUCCAGGCAAAUCCGGAUAAUCAAGGCUGAGGUGUGAUGACGAGGCACUACGGUGCUGAAGUAACAAAUGCCCUGCUUCCAGGAAAAGCCUCUAAGCAUCAGGUAACAUCAAAUCGUACCCCAAACCGACACAGGUGGUCAGGUAGAGAAUACCAAGGCGCUUGAGAGAACUCGGGUGAAGGAACUAGGCAAAAUGGUGCCGUAACUUCGGGAGAAGGCACGCUGGUGUGUAGGUGAAGUCCCUGCGGAUGGAGCUGAGACCAGUCGAAGAUACCAGCUGGCUGCAACUGUUUAUUAAAAACACAGCACUGUGCAAACACGAAAGUGGACGUAUACGGUGUGACGCCUGCCCGGUGCCGGAAGGUUAAUUGAUGGGGUUAUCCGUAAGGAGAAGCUCUUGAUCGAAGCCCCGGUAAACGGCGGCCGUAACUAUAACGGUCCUAAGGUAGCGAAAUUCCUUGUCGGGUAAGUUCCGACCUGCACGAAUGGCGUAAUGAUGGCCAGGCUGUCUCCACCCGAGACUCAGUGAAAUUGAACUCGCUGUGAAGAUGCAGUGUACCCGCGGCAAGACGGAAAGACCCCGUGAACCUUUACUAUAGCUUGACACUGAACAUUGAGCCUUGAUGUGUAGGAUAGGUGGGAGGCUUUGAAGCGUGGACGCCAGUCUGCGUGGAGCCAACCUUGAAAUACCACCCUUUAAUGUUUGAUGUUCUAACGUUGGCCCCUUACCGGGGUUGCGGACAGUGUCUGGUGGGUAGUUUGACUGGGGCGGUCUCCUCCCAAAGCGUAACGGAGGAGCACGAAGGUUAGCUAAUCCUGGUCGGACAUCAGGAGGUUAGUGCAAUGGCAUAAGCUAGCUUGACUGCGAGCGUGACGGCGCGAGCAGGUGCGAAAGCAGGUCAUAGUGAUCCGGUGGUUCUGAAUGGAAGGGCCAUCGCUCAACGGAUAAAAGGUACUCCGGGGAUAACAGGCUGAUACCGCCCAAGAGUUCAUAUCGACGGCGGUGUUUGGCACCUCGAUGUCGGCUCAUCACAUCCUGGGGCUGAAGUAGGUCCCAAGGGUAUGGCUGUUCGCCAUUUAAAGUGGUACGCGAGCUGGGUUUAGAACGUCGUGAGACAGUUCGGUCCCUAUCUGCCGUGGGCGCUGGAGAAUUGAGGGGGGCUGCUCCUAGUACGAGAGGACCGGAGUGGACGCAUCACUGGUGUUCGGGUUGUCAUGCCAAUGGCACUGCCCGGUAGCUAAAUGCGGAAGAGAUAAGUGCUGAAAGCAUCUAAGCACGAAACUUGCCCCGAGAUGAGUUCUCCCUGAGACUUUAAGUCUCCUGAAGGAACGUUGAAGACGACGACGUUGAUAGGCCGGGUGUGUAAGCGCAGCGAUGCGUUGAGCUAACCGGUACUAAUGAACCGUGAGGCUUAACCUUACAACGCCGAAG
rnacentral:rRNA from 1 species